GUAGCCGAACUGAGAGGUUGAUCGGCCACAUUGGGACUGAGACACGGCCCAAACUCCUACGGGAGGCAGCAGUAGGGAAUCUUCCACAAUGGACGCAAGUCUGAUGGAGCAUCGCCGCGUGAGUGAAGAAGGCUUUCGGGUCGUAAAACUCUGUUGUUGGAGAAGAAUGGUCGGCAGAGUAACUGUUGUCGGCGUGACGGUAUCCAACCAGAAAGCCACGGCUAACUACGUGCCAGCAGCCGCGGUAAUACGUAGGUGGCUUGCGUUAUCCGGAUUUAUUGGGCUGAAAGCGAGCGCAGGCGCUUUUUUAAGUCUGAUGUGAAAGCCCUCGGCUUAACCGAGGAAGCGCAUCGGAAACUGGGAAACUUGAGUGCAGAAGAGGACAGUGGAACUCCAUGUGUAGCGGUGAAAUGCGUAGAUAUAUGGAAGAACACCAGUGGCGAAGGCGGCUGUCUGGUCUGUAACUGACGCUGAGGCUCGAAAGCAUGGGUAGCGAACAGGAUUAGAUACCCUGGUAGUCCAUGCCGUAAACGAUGAAUGCUAGGUGUUGGA
rnacentral:rRNA from 1 species